UACGGAGGGGGCUAGCGUUGUUCGGAAUUACUGGGCGUAAAGCGCACGUAGGCGGCUUUGCAAGUUAGAGGUGAAAGCCCGGGGCUCAACUCCGGAAUUGCCUUUAAGACUGCAUCGCUAGAAUUGUGGAGAGGUAAGUGGAAUUCCGAGUGUAGAGGUGUAAUUCGUAGAUAUUCGGAAGAACACCAGUGGCGAAGGCGACUUACUGGACACAUAUUGACGCUGAGGUGCGAAAGCGUGGGGAGCAAACAGG
rnacentral:rRNA from 1 species